UGUAUUUACCCGCUCUGAAUUCCACAGUCACUCGCCCCCUCGCGAAUUGUUGCGUAGUACAAACCCAAACUCUUAACUCUUAAGCUCGCAUGACUCGCCGAGACGCUAGCUACAAGACACUCGCAUUAAACUCGACUCUCGUUCAGCCUACAUUGGGUCAACUUAAACUGAGGUCAGAAAGGAGCAAGAUACUUUAGAGACACCCCGUACCUAUACAGAUGUUUAAGAGCUAAGCAACUACUCAGAGUGAGUGAGUUGAUGCGAGCCGCGUAUCACGAGAAGGAAGUUCAAUUUAACCCAAUAAAGGACAAUCAGAGACCGACGGCGACCAGAGACGAGUGCUCCUCUGCUCGCUAAACGGAUCAUCCAGAUCAGACUUCUCUUUCAGGACUUUUCAUUCCAGAAAGAGAAAGAAAUGGUCAAGCACUACGUAAGCUACGACAAAGGGAUACGUGCAAACUUUGAUCAUCUCCCGAAGACAACGUCCAGGUUCUGUAUUCCCACGUGGGAAAGGAUCCCACGGACGUAUGGAAAAAAAAAAACAGGGAUCCAUGACACUCUUGUACGGUAGUCAACUGGCGGCACGUCAACCAGGUAUUCAAGCACAGAGGAUGAAGCACCUAAGCACGACCCAAUCUCGAGAGUCCUCAGCAUCCUCUUCAUGUCUAAUCCCAAAAGAGAAUCUCUCACGAGCUCUUUAUACGCUUUACACUCUGCGUUGCUCACUUCAGGUAUUCUACAGGCUUGUUCAAAAACUUCACUGGAGCUCCUUCUGAUGUUGCUCGUUGGUCUUACGGAGUGUCCUGCGAAAAUGGAAAUGGCCAAUUUUCAGUUGCUACACCAGGCAGCAUCCCUUUUAUCUACUUUACUCAAUGGACCGUGCAAAUCUGUCGUAUGGACCAAGUGGAUCUCUCCUCCACUUUCCCACAAUAUGGGCAACCGGUUUAUAAAUUGUAGAUGGCGGUGCGUUCUCUUCAUUGAAAACGGGUGAAACGUGCAUCCAUGGACACUGUACUGGAAUAAGUAGUCGUUAUUUUGGUUAAGGUUGAGGUUAGGUUCAUCUUGGGCAGCAGCAACCUCAUAGGCAUUCGUCAGGCAAAUCGUUCCCUUUGAUUUGUCAAUGUGAAGACGUAGCUGGGACACUGAGAAGAAUGAGGUUGCUCAGCUACCAUUUUUUGGUCAGAUAGAUGUCUCUAGUGAUCGCUUAAGGGUGAGUUAGGGUGGAACGCAGAGGGCGAUAGGGCCUGGAAGAGGAGGGGUUGAUGGUUCAUUCAUGGUGUCGGUGGAAAAAGGGAAAAAUACGAGAUUAGCUCUGGGGCCUUCUAGUUCACCUUCGUGAAAGAGGGUGCAAGUGGGGUGGGUUUCGACAUUAGCGAUUACACGCCCCGGGGCUUCCAUACAUCGGGUGUCUCCGCGUGGAACUAAGCAGACAAAAUGGCCAUGCUCCAGCUCACUCCAGAUUCCGUUUCUCUUCCUGGCCCUCUCGGCUCAGAACGCUCAAGAGGAGGGAUUCAGAGCCGAACCCCUUGUCAGAAUUACG